UACGGGGGGAGCAAGCGUUGUUCGGAUUUACUGGGCGUAAAGGGCGCGUAGGCGGGUGCUCAAGUCCGGGGUGAAAUCCUCCAGCUCAACUGGAGAACUGCCUCGGAUACUGGGUGCCUCGAGGGUGGCAGGGGUAUGCGGAACUAUCGGUGGAGCGGUGAAAUGCGUUGAUAUCGAUAGGAACUCCGGUGGCGAAGGCGGCAUACUGGUCCACUUCUGACGCUGAGGCGCGAAAGCCAGGGGAGCAAACGGG
rnacentral:rRNA from 1 species